rnacentral:rRNA from 1 species
UUUCCGUAGGUGAACCUGCGGAGGGAUCAUUACCGAGUUAUCCAACUCCCAACCCCUGUGAAUCAUACCUUUAAUUGUUGCUUCGGCGGGACUUCGCGCCCGCCGGGGACCCAAACCUUCUGAAUUUUUUAAUAAGUAUCUUCUGAGUGGUUAAAAAAAAUGAAUCAAAACUUUCAACAACGGAUCUCUUGGUUCUGGCAUCGAUGAAGAACGCAGCGAAAUGCGAUAAGUAAUGUGAAUUGCAGAAUUCAGUGAAUCAUCGAAUCUUUGAACGCACAUUGCGCCCGUCAGUAUUCUGGCGGGCAUGCCUGUUCGAGCGUCAUUACGCCCCUCAAGUCCCCUGUGGACUUGGUGUUGGGGAUCGGCGAGGCUGGUUUUCCAGCACAGCCGUCCCUUAAAUUAAUUGGCGGUCUCGCCGUGGCCCUCCUCUGCGCAGUAGUAAAGCACUCGCAACAGGAGCCCGGCGCGGUCCACUGCCGUAAAACCCCCCAACUUUUUAUAGUUGACCUCGAAUCAGGUAGAUACCC